UACGAAGGGUGCAAGCGUUACUCGGAAUUACUGGGCGUAAAGCGUGCGUAGGUGGUUUGUUAAGUCUGAUGUGAAAGCCCUGGGCUCAACCUGGGAACUGCAUUGGAAACUGGCUGACUAGAGUGCGGUAGAGGGGUGUGGAAUUCCCGGUGUAGCAGUGAAAUGCGUAGAUAUCGGGAGGAACAUCUGUGGCGAAGGCGACACCCUGGACCAGCACUGACACUGAGGCACGAAAGCCAGGGGAGCAAACGGG
rnacentral:rRNA from 1 species